rnacentral:rRNA from 1 species
CCUACGGGGGGCUGCAGUGAGGAAUAUUGGUCAAUGGACGAGAGUCUGAACCAGCCACGUAGCGUGAAGGAUGACUGCCCUAUGGGUUGUAAACUUCUUUUAUAUGGGAAUAAAAUGUUCCACGUGUGGGAUUUUGUAUGUACCAUAUGAAUAAGGAUCGGCUAACUCCGGGCCAGCAGCCGCGGUAAUACGGAGGAUCCGAGCGUUAUCCGGAUUUAUUGGGUUUAAAGGGUGCGUAGGUGGAUUGUUAAGUCAGUUGUGAAAGUUUGCGGCUCAACCGUAAAAUUGCAGUUGAAACUGGCAGUCUGGAGUACAGUAGAGGUGGGCGGAAUUCGUGGUGUAGCGGUGAAAUGCUUAGAUAUCACGAAGAACUCCGAUUGCGAAGGCAGCUCACUGGACUGCAACUGACACUGAGGCUCGAAAGUGUGGGUAUCAAACAGGAUUAGAUACCCUGGUAGUC